rnacentral:piRNA from 1 species
UACAGCCUGNGUUGAAGGUUCUACUACUC